AGCGAACGCUGGCGGCAGGCCUAACACAUGCAAGUCGAACGAACCUUUCGGGGUUAGUGGCGGACGGGUGAGUAACACGUGGGAACGUGCCUUUAGGUUCGGAAUAACUCAGGGAAACUUGUGCUAAUACCGAAUGUGCCCUUCGGGGGAAAGAUUUAUCGCCUUUAGAGCGGCCCGCGUCUGAUUAGCUAGUUGGUUGAGGUAAUGGCUCACCAAGGCGACGAUCAGUAGCUGGUCUGAGAGGAUGAUCAGCCACAUUGGGACUGAGACACGGCCCAAACUCCUGCGGGAGGCAGCAGUGGGGAAUCUUGCGCAAUGGGCGAAAGCCUGACGCAGCCAUGCCGCGUGAAUGAUGAAGGUCUUAGGAUUGUAAAAUUCUUUCACCGGGGACGAUAAUGACGGUACCCGGAGAAGAAGCCCCGGCUAACUUCGUG
rnacentral:rRNA from 1 species